GCUCCCCCUUCCAAUGGGUGUAUUGGGGUAUUCAUUUACUUCAUUACUCCUUUGGUCGUUUACUGUGAGAAAAUUAGAGUGUUCAAAGCGGGCGUUUGUUUGAAUAGAUUAGCAUGGAAUAAUGAUUGAAGGCUUUCGUGUUCGAUUUGAUUGGUUUGUUCAUGGAAGCAAGGUUAAAAGGAACAGUUGGGGGUAUUCAUAUUCACUAGUUAGAGGUGAAAUUCUCGGAUUUAUGGAAGAUGAACAGGUGCGAAAGCAUUUACCAAGGAUGUUUUCAUUAAUCAAGAACGAAAGCUAGGGGAUCGAAGAGGAUUAGAUACCCUCGUAGUCUUAGCUAUAAACGAUACCGACUAGGGGUUAGUAGAGGUCAAUGUGUCUCUAUUAGUACCUUAUGAGAAAUCAAAGUCUUUGGGUUCCGGGGGGAGUAUGGUCGCAAGGCUGAAACUUAAAGGGAAUUGACGGAAGGGCACCACCAGGAGUGGAGCCUGCGGCUUA
rnacentral:rRNA from 1 species